rnacentral:rRNA from 1 species
AUUGAACGCUGGCGGCAGGCCUAACACAUGCAAGUCGAGCGAGCGGCGGACGGGUGAGUAAUGUCUGGGAAACUGCCUGAUGGAGGGGGAUAACUACUGGAAACGGUAGCUAAUACCGCAUACCAUCAGAUGUGCCCAGCUGGGAUUAGCUCGUAGGUGGGGUAACGGCUCACCUAGGCGACGAGCCCUAGCUGGUCUGAGAGGAUGACCAGCGACGCUGGAACUGAGACACGGUCCGUACUCCUACGGGAGGCAGCAGUGGGGAAUAUUGCACAAUGGGAGCAGGCCUGAUGCAGCCAUGCCGCGUGUGUGAAGAAGGCCUUCGGGUUGUAAAGCACUUUCAGCGGGGAGGCGUUACCCGCAGAAGAAGCACCGGCUAACUCCGUGCCAGCAGGCGCGGUAAUAC